CGUUGGUGCUUGGGGGCCGUGAGGAAGCGGCGUGAAACACACAACUCACACAGCCUGUCUUUAACCUACUGCCCUCUCCUUCGUAAGGGAUGAUGAUGAUGAGCAUAAAAAAACAGUGUGAACUCAAGUGCCUGUUUGUCACCGAGCAACCUCAGUGAACUCCUUGUGAAAUGAGCCUGUGCCUUACAUUGCAUCUGGAUCAUCUAGGCUGCAAACUGAUUUUAAAAAUAUACAUUUAAUGUUUAGUGAAACUAUGGUAGCUAUAAUAAAACUGUAUUUACUAUUGCUAA